GUAUCUAAGGAAUAAGCAUCGGCUAACUCUGUGCCAGCAGCCGCGGUAAGACAGAGGAUGCAAGCGUUAUCCGGAAUGAUUGGGCGUAAAGCGUCUGUAGGUGGCUUUUCAAGUCCGCCAUCAAAUCCCAGGGCUCAACCCUGGACAGGCGGUGGAAACUACCAAGUUGGAGUACGGUAGGGGCAGAGGGAAUUUCCUGUGGAGCGGUGAAAUGCAUUGAGAUCGGAAAGAACACCAACGGCGAAAGCACUCUGCUGGGCCGACACUGACACUGAGAUACGAAAGCUAUGGGAGCAAAUGGGAUUAGAGACCCCAGUAGUCCUAGCCGUAAACGAUAGAUACUAGGUGUUGUGCGACUCGACCCGUGCAGUGCUGUAGCUAACGCGUUAAGUAUCCCGCC
rnacentral:rRNA from 1 species